rnacentral:rRNA from 1 species
GACGAACGCUGGCGGCGUGCCUAAUACAUGCAAGUCGAACGAGCCGGCGGAUGGGUGAGUAACGCGUGAGUUACCUGCCCUUAAGUGUGGGAUACCAUUUGGAAGCAGAUGCUAAUACCAGCUACUAAUGGAUGGACCUGCGAUGCAUUAGCUAGUUGGUAAGGUAACGGCUUACCAAGGCGAUGAUGCAUAGCCGAUUGGAGAGAGUGAUCGGCCACAUUGGGACUGAGACACGGCCCAAACUCCUACGGGAGGCAGCAGUAGGGAAUCUUCCGCAAUGGACGAAAGUCUGAUGGAGCAACGCCGCGUGAGUGAAGAAGGUUUUCGGAUCGUAAAGCUCUGUUGUUGGUGAAGCGGUAAUCAACCAGAAAGCCACGGCUAACUACGUGCCAGCAGCCGCGGUAAUUC